rnacentral:lncRNA from 1 species
CAAGUUACCCUUGAGAAAGUGUAUAAAUAGUCUCGUCACUUGCUAUUCAAGCAUGGUCAAAAUUUUUAACAUGAGUUUGAGCUGCAUGUACCGAAAAAGCAAUUGGAAAAUGGUGUGAGAUUUCGAAUAUGUAAUUUGCAGGCAAAUUAUUUUCAAGAUGGUAUGAUCUUUCAUCUUUGUGCAGCAGAAAAUCUGAAGCAACUUCAUCUGUGAAUGUGAGGUUUAUCUGGAUGCAAGUCUUUGAGAGGUCAGCUGGCUGCCUUCUUUGGGAAUUCUUUGGGUCUUCCGAUAGAACCAAGCUAAAGGUGUAGUUGUAUGGUUGUGACAAUAAGCUUCUGGUCUCUGAGGAUGCCUGGAUGCAAGUCUGCAGUUGAGGUGAUUUAUUCUCAAAUAUAAAUAGCACCUUCGUUUCCCUACCGACUGCUAGUUUCAAGGGUUUCACCUAAUGAUACUUUCAACAUAUUUAUGGAAUUCUUUGUGGAGCGAUUGAUGGAUUUCAUUGUUUGAAAUGGUAUGGUUGGGUGACUUACUGCAAGUUUCUUAAUAUAACUGACACUGGCUGCCUUUUUGGUGUCAAGGAAGAAACGGAUCGAGGUAUGUUCACGUGAGGAAGUUUGUUCGAAUUAUUCUUUCCAAUGAUGUUGUAAUUUGCGACUGAGGCUUGUUUCUGCUGGACAUGCCUGCGUCCAUUAUGGUAGUCUUGGGAAUCAUACCUCAGUGCCUGAGGAAGCCUGGAUCGUCUGCUCUUGAAGGUGAUUUAUUUUCGGGCUUGAGCUGAUGCACAUGGUGUCUUGUUUCCAUAUCGACUGCUUGCUUCAAGUGCGUUCGUCGCUUCAAGGCUUCUGGCUCCGUCGUGUCGGUUUUUUCACUUGCGUCGCUAGGGUUAACAAGGAACUGAAGCUGUCGGUCAACAGCAGGAUCGAUGCGUGUGGCCUGGUUCGCUAGGUAUUUGGAAAAUGGCCGUAGGUUCCAAUCGUGAUGUAGUAUUCGUAAUGUGUAUGGACUCGUUUGAAUAAACCUGUUUUGCAGAAAUGAAA